CCUACGGGAGGCAGCAGUGGGGAAUUUUGGACAAUGGGCGAAAGCCUGAUCCAGCCAUGCCGCGUGCAGGAUGAAGGCCUUCGGGUUGUAAACUGCUUUUGUACGGAACGAAAAGGUCUUUUCUAAUAAAGAAGGCUCAUGACGGUACCGUAAGAAUAAGCACCGGCUAACUACGUGCCAGCAGCCGCGGUAAUACGUAGGGUGCGAGCGUUAAUCGGAAUUACUGGGCGUAAAGCGUGCGCAGGCGGUUAUAUAAGACAGUUGUGAAAUCCCCGGGCUCAACCUGGGAACUGCAUCUGUGACUGUAUAGCUAGAGUACGGUAGAGGGGGAUGGAAUUCCGCGUGUAGCAGUGAAAUGCGUAGAUAUGCGGAGGAACACCGAUGGCGAAGGCAAUCCCCUGGACCUGUACUGACGCUCAUGCACGAAAGCGUGGGGAGCAAACAGGAUUAGAUACCCUGGUAGUCCACGCCCUAAACGAUGUCAACUGGUUGUUGGGUCUUCACUGACUCAGUAACGAAGCUAACGCGUGAAGUUGACCGCCUGGGGAGUACGGCCGCAAGGUUGAAACUUAAAUGAAUUGACGG
rnacentral:rRNA from 1 species